rnacentral:misc_RNA from 1 species
AACGCAUAUUGCGCCCCUCGGUAUUCCGGGGGGCAUACCUGUCCGAGCGUCAUUGCACCCCUCAAGCGUAGCUUGGUAUUGGGCACUCGUCCUCGCGGACGUGCCUGAAAAAGAGUGGCGGUCCCGUGCGACUUCAAGCGUAGUAAAAGAUCUCCCGCUUUGGAAGCCUUCGCGUGGCGGCUGGCCAAAACCAUACACUUUUCAAUGAUUGACCUCGGAUCAGGUAGGGAUACCCGCUGAACUUAA